GAUUACAGGUGUGAACCACCAUGCCUGGUUCAAAGUUAUGUCUUAUUCAAUAUUUAAUUGCUUCAAAGAUCGCUCUUCUUGAUUAUUUUCCCUCAUUUUAACAUAUGCACCAGGCACAAGAAUGGUCCCUGUUCAGUUUUACUCUAAUCUCAUCAAUGAGAAAAUUGAUGAGGUGUUUCCGAGACUUUAACUGUUACGUUUUUCCUCCAAGCCCCAAAAAUCAACCUCUCACUGUGAUCCUUACUUUACACCCAGAAUACUCCCUUACACUUUCAAUUAAAUACCUGGUGAACAGUUACUCCAAAUAAGUCUUUGUAUACAGCGUGUAAGACCUUCUGGGAAGGUACAUAUUUAUCUUGUCCUUCUUUCCCUAGCCAGUCAAAAAGGCCGAUCUAAGCAAAAAUCGAUUGAGCAAAAAUAUAUCAAUCCAUUAACUUCCCUUCCCCCAAGAAUAAAAAAAAUCAGAACAGCAUCCUUUCUAUGUCUAUUUUUUUUUCUUCUUUUUUCCUUUUCUCUCGACACUCUUCCCUUAUCCAAAUAAGUUUUGCCAUUUAGUAUUUUCCUGGUGUUUCUCUCCUGCCCCACUCCCACACCCCAUUUGAUUGCAAGAAUAUGAGAAUAGUCUAUAAUCCUCAGGGUAUGUGCAAAACACUUUCAGCAUGGGUUCAGUUAGUUUUGUACCUUGUUCACAAGAGAAAAUCUGGGAAAGCCUUUAGUCCCUUCCAAGACAGUGUGACUUGAAUCUGAGAAGGCUGUGGCAAACAGUUUGAUUUGAAUUUGAUUUUAUUUUUUGGCAUCUUCUUCAGAAUCUCUUUGUUCUCUGAAGUUGUGUUUAACAAUGCUAUGCCUUAGGCAUGGUCAGUUGUGUUUGAAUUAAAAAUAUAAUGUAAUUCAAUGUCACAUUGACAUGAUAGUGAAAAGGGAAUAUCCUUGCAUGCUCUCUUACUUUAUUCAUCCACCAAAUUGAAGUCUGGCAGUAGAAAAAAAAUGUAUUAUCCUGGCAAUGUGCCUAAUACAUGCUUCUUACAAUAUGUUUUUUGGGGUACCCCAGAUUCAGUCAGUUAAUUUAAAUAAAUAAAAUCUGACUAGCCCCACCCUAUCCAACACUGCUGUGUUAGAGCAAGUUGGACACUCUUUAACUUCUUGAUGAAUCCCAGUUACUUCUUGAUAGAUUUCACUUUUCAACAUGCGAUAGUAAGCAUGAGUUAUUUAGUGGUUGCUGUUUAUUUUUAUUUUCCAAGUUAGAAUGAUAUAACAGCUUGGUAAAAUUAUCUAUUGUUGACUUAGUAGGGGAAAGUUUGAAUGGGAUUCACAAGGAGAGGGAAGAAGAGGAAGAAUGGGAGAGAUGAAGGGUAAAAGUGAGAGGCUAAUGAUGAAACACAUGUUUUUUCAUAUGUGGAAAGAAGAGAAAACAGCUAUAGAGACUAGUAUAGAACAUAAGCAAAAACUUCCUAAUACAAAUUAAGUUCCUUCAGCAGCAAUAAAAAAAAAAAAAAAAAAAGACAAAAAACAAUUUGAAAAGCC
rnacentral:lncRNA from 10 species